rnacentral:rRNA from 1 species
UACGUAGGUGGCAAGCGUUGUCCGGAUUUACUGGGCGUAAAGAGUGCGCAGGCGGUCGUUCAAGUCGCGUGUGAAAGCCCCCGGCUCAACUGGGGAGGGUCACGCGAUACUGAUCGACUCGAAGGCAGGAGAGGGAAGUGGAAUUCCCGGUGUAGUGGUGAAAUGCGUAGAUAUCGGGAGGAACACCAGUGGCGAAGGCGACUUCCUGGGACAAUACUGACGCUGAGGUGCGAAAGCGUGGGGAGCAAACAGG